rnacentral:rRNA from 1 species
UUAGAGAUGAGCAUGCGUGUCAUUAGCUUGUUGGUGAGGUAACAGCUCACCAAGGCAACGAUGACUAGGGGUUCUGAGAGGAUGAUCCCCCACACUGGUACUGAGACACGGACCAGACCCCUACGGGAGGCAGCAGUGAGGAAUAUUGGGCAAUGGGCGAAAGCCUGACCCAGCCAUGCCGCGUGCAGGAUGACUGCCCUAUGGGUUGUAAACUGCUUUUAUACGGGAAGAAUGGUUCCUACGUGUAGGGAUUUGACGGUACCGUAAGAAUAAGCAUCGGCUAACUCCGUGCCAGCAGCCGCGGUAAUACGGAGGAUGCAAGCGCUAUCCGGAUUCAUUGGGUUUAAAGGGUGCGCAGGCGGAAUAUUAAGUCAGUGGUGAAAUCCUGCAGCUUAACUGUAGAACUGCCAUUGAUACUGAUAUUCUUGAAUGUAGUUGAGGUGGGCGGAAUGGGUAAUGUAGCGGUGAAAUGCUUAGAUAUUACACAGAACACCGAUUGCGAAGGCAGCUCACUAAACUAACAUUGACGCUGAGGCACGAAAGCGUGGGGAGCGAACAGGAUUAGAUACCCUGGUAGUCCACGCUGUAAACUAUGAUCACUCGCUGUUGGCAAUACAUCGUCAGCGGCUGAGCGAAAGCAUUAAGUGAUCCACCUGGGGAUUACGAUCGCAAGAUUGAAACUCAAAGGAAUUGACGGGGGCCCGCACAAGCGGAGGAACAUGUGGUUUAAUUCGAUGAUACGCGAGGAACCUUACCUGGGCUUAAAUGCAGAUCGACGCUCCGGGAAACCGGAAUUCCUUCGGGCGAACUGCAAGGUGCUGCAUGGCUGCCGUCAGCUCGUGCCGUGAGGUGUCGGGUUAAGUCCCAUAACGAGCGCAACCCUUAUCGUUAGUUGCCAGCGGGUAAUGCCGGGGACUCUAACGAAACUGCCGGUGUAAACCGUGAGGAAGGUGGGGAUGACGUCAAGUCAGCACGGCCCUUAUGUCCAGGGCUACACACGUGUUACAAUGGUCGGUACAAAGGGCAGCUACCAGGCGACUGGAUGCUAAUCUCAAAAACCGAUCUCAGUUCGGAUUGAAGUCUGCAACUCGACUUCAUGAAGCUGGAUUCGCUAGUAAUCGCGCAUCAGCACGUGGCGCGGUGAAUACGUUCCCGGGCACUUGUACACACCGCCCGUCAAGCCAUGGAAGCUUGGGGUACACUGAAGUCCGU